UACGUAGGGUCCGAGCGUUGUCCGGAGUUACUGGGCGUAAAGCGCGUGUAGGCGGUCCGGUAAGUCCGCUGUGAAAGUCGGGGGCUCAACCCUCGGAUGCCGGUGGAUACUGUCGGGCUUGAGUACGGAAGAGGCGAGUGGAAUUCCUGGUGUAGCGGUGAAAUGCGCAGAUAUCAGGAGGAACACCAAUUGCGAAGGCAGCUCGCUGGGACGUUACUGACGCUGAGACGCGAAAGCGUGGGGAGCAAACAGG
rnacentral:rRNA from 1 species